GGGUUGUGAGGUUAAGCGACUAAGCGUACACGGUGGAUGCCCUGGCAGUCAGAGGCGAUGAAGGACGUGCUAAUCUGCGAUAAGCGUCGGUAAGGUGAUAUGAACCGUUAUAACCGGCGAUUUCCGAAUGGGGAAACCCAGUGUGUUUCGACACACUAUCAUUAACUGAAUCCAUAGGUUAAUGAGGCGAACCGGGGGAACUGAAACAUCUAAGUACCCCGAGGAAAAGAAAUCAACCGAGAUUCCCCCCAGUAGCGGCGAGCGAACGGGGAGGAGCCCAGAGCCUGAAUCAGUGUGUGUGUUAGUGGAAGCGUCUGGAAAGGCGCGCGAUACAGGGUGACAGCCCCGUACACAAAAAUGCACAUGCUGUGAGCUCGAUGAGUAGGGCGGGACACGUGGUAUCCUGUCUGAAUAUGGGGGGACCAUCCUCCAAGGCUAAAUACUCCUGACUGACCGAUAGUGAACCAGUACCGUGAGGGAAAGGCGAAAAGAACCCCGGCGAGGGGAGUGAAAAAAGAACCUGAAACCGUGUACGUACAAGCAGUGGGAGCACGCUUAGGCGUGUGACUGCGUACCUUUUGUAUAAUGGGUCAGCGACUUAUAUUCUGUAGCAAGGUUAACCGAAUAGGGGAGCCGAAGGGAAACCGAGUCUUAACUGGGCGUUAAGUUGCAGGGUAUAGACCCGAAACCCGGUGAUCUAGCCAUGGGCAGGUUGAAGGUUGGGUAACACUAACUGGAGGACCGAACCGACUAAUGUUGAAAAAUUAGCGGAUGACUUGUGGCUGGGGGUGAAAGGCCAAUCAAACCGGGAGAUAGCUGGUUCUCCCCGAAAGCUAUUUAGGUAGCGCCUCGUGAACUCAUCUCCGGGGGUAGAGCACUGUUUCGGCAAGGGGGUCAUCCCGACUUACCAACCCGAUGCAAACUGCGAAUACCGGAGAAUGUUAUCACGGGAGACACACGGCGGGGUGCUAACGUCCGUCGUGAAGAGGGAAACAACCCAGACCGCCAGCUAAGGUCCCAAAGUCAUGGUUAAGUGGGAAACGAUGUGGGAAGGCCCAGACAGCCAGGAUGUUGGCUUAGAAGCAGCCAUCAUUUAAAGAAAGCGUAAUAGCUCACUGGUCGAGUCGGCCUGCGCGGAAGAUGUAACGGGGCUAAACCAUGCACCGAAGCUGCGGCAGCGACGCUUAUGCGUUGUUGGGUAGGGGAGCGUUCUGUAAGCCUGUGAAGGUGUACUGUGAGGUAUGCUGGAGGUAUCAGAAGUGCGAAUGCUGACAUAAGUAACGAUAAAGCGGGUGAAAAGCCCGCUCGCCGGAAGACCAAGGGUUCCUGUCCAACGUUAAUCGGGGCAGGGUGAGUCGACCCCUAAGGCGAGGCCGAAAGGCGUAGUCGAUGGGAAACAGGUUAAUAUUCCUGUACUUUGGUGUUACCGCGAAGGGGACGGAGAAGGCUAUGUUGGCCGGGCGACGGUUGUCCCGGUUUAAGCGUGUAGGCUGGUUUUCCGUGCAAAUCCGGAAAAUCAAGGCUGAGGCGUGAUGACGAGGCACUACGGUGCUGAAGCAACAAAUGCCCUGCUUCCGGGGAAAAGCCUCUAAGCAUCAGGUAACAUCAAAUCAAAACCCCAAACCGACACAGGUGGUCAGGUAGAGAAUACCAAGGCGCUUGAGAGAACUCGGGUGAAGGAACUAGGGCAAAAUGGUGCCGUAACUUCGGGAGAAGGCACGCUGAUAUGUAGGUGAAGCGACUUGCUCGUGGAGCUGAAAUCAGUCGAAGAUACCAGCUGGCUGCAACUGUUUAUUAAAAAACACAGCACUGUGCAAACACGAAAGUGGACGUAUACGGUGUGACGCCCGCCCGGUGCCGGAAGGUUAAUUGAUGGGGUUAGCGCAAGCGAAGCUCUUGAUCGAAGCCCGGUAAACGGCGGCCGUAACUAUAACGGUCCUAAGGUAGCGAAAUUCCUUGUCGGGUAAGUUCCGACCUGCACGAAUGGCGUAAUGAUGGCCAGGCUGUCUCCACCCGAGACUCAGUGAAAUUGAACUCGCUGUGAAGAUGCAGUGUACCCGCGGCAAGACGGAAAGACCCCGUGAACCUUUACUAUAGCUUGACACUGAACAUUGAGCCUUGAUGUGUAGGAUAGGUGGGAGGCUUUGAAGUGUGGACGCCAGUCUGCAUGGAGCCGACCUUGAAAUACCACCCUUUAAUGUUUGAUGUUCUAACGUUGACCCGUAAUCCGGGUUGCGGACAGUGUCUGGUGGGUAGUUUGACUGGGGCGGUCUCCUCCUAAAAGAGUAACGGAGGAGCACGAAGGUUGGCUAAUCUGGGCCGGACAUCAGGAGGUUAGUGCAAUGGCAUAAGCCAGCUUGACUGCGAGCGUGACGGCGCGAGCAGGUGCGAAAGCAGGUCAUAGUGAUCCGGUGGUUCUGAAUGGAAGGGCCAUCGCUCAACGGAUAAAAGGUACUCCGGGGAUAACAGGCUGAUACCGCCCAAGAGUUCAUAUCGACGGCGGUGUUUGGCACCUCGAUGUCGGCUCAUCACAUCCUGGGGCUGAAGUAGGUCCCAAGGGUAUGGCUGUUCGCCAUUUAAAGUGGUACGCGAGCUGGGUUUAGAACGUCGUGAGACAGUUCGGUCCCUAUCUGCCGUGGGCGCUGGAGAACUGAGGGGGGCUGCUCCUAGUACGAGAGGACCGGAGUGGACGCAUCACUGGUGUUCGGGUUGUCAUGCCAAUGGCACUGCCCGGUAGCUAAAUGCGGAAGAGAUAAGUGCUGAAAGCAUCUAAGCACGAAACUUGCCCCGAGAUGAGUUCUCCCUGACUCCUUGAGAGUCCUGAAGGAACGUUGAAGACGACGACGUUGAUAGGCCGGGUGUGUAAGCGCAGCGAUGCGUUGAGCUAACCGGUACUAAUGAACCGUGAGGCUUAACCUUACAACGCCGAAGGUGUUU
rnacentral:rRNA from 1 species